rnacentral:rRNA from 1 species
GACGAACGCUGGCGGCGUGCUUAACACAUGCAAGUCGAACGGUGAAAGCGGAGCUUGCUCCGCUGGAUCAGUGGCGAACGGGUGAGUAACACGUGGGCAACCUGCCCCUCACUUCGGGAUAACUCCGGGAAACCGGGGCUAAUACCGGAUAUGACCUCCUUGGGCAUCCUUGGAGGUGGAAAGUUUUUCGGUGAGGGAUGGGCGCGCGGCCUAUCAGCUUGUUGGUGAGGUAGUGGCUCACCAAGGCGACGACGGGUAGCCGGCCUGAGAGGGCGACAGCCAACGCUGGGCCUGAGACACGGCCCAGACUCCGACGGGAGGCAGCAGGGGGGAAUAUUGCGCAAGGGGCGAAAGCGUGACGGAGCAAGGCCGCGUGCGGGAUGACGGCCUUCGGGUUGUAAACCGCUUUCAGCAGGGAAGAAGCCGCAAGGUGACGGUACCUGCAGAAGAAGCACCGGCUAACUACGUGCCAGCCGCCGCGGUAA